CUUCAAGGGCAAGAGGGGUAUAUACGUAUAUAUCAUCGCACGGUGUGUCCCGGAAGGCUUGAUAUGCUAGUCCCGCGGGACAAGGCGAGCCGAGGAGUUUGUGUGGAAGUUUGCAUCUGAGAGUGCGAGAGCUGGACGGAGUGUUACAGAGCCGCGAUGCCUUCUCGUUUUGUUUUGUUUUGUUUUUGAUACAGUGUCUCGCUCUUCCGCCCAGUCUCGAGUGCAGUGGUGAGAACACGGCUUACUGCAGCCUCAAAAUCCUGGACCCAAAAGAUCCUCCCACCUCAGCCUGCCUCCCAGGUAGCUGGGACUACAGGCGCACAACACCAUCGCUUCUUGGAUUAAAAGAAAAGGAUGAAACGGGCCCCAGAAAGAGGCGGUGACGUCCCAGAACCCAUGGCAGGGGAGUUGGGAAAAUAAAUAUUUGUAUUGUUUUAAUC
rnacentral:lncRNA from 10 species